rnacentral:lncRNA from 1 species
UAUGAGUUUAGGAGAAGCCAAUGUCAGGAUGGUUUAUGUGUACCGAAUGGAAGAAGGCAAUGUGACAUUUUCUUUUGUUCCGUACUAUCAACUGUGGGUCUACACUCCAAAUUCUAAACCCGAAAGAGUUUGAUUUCAAAUAUACUUCAAUUUCCGCUAACAAUUUGGGAGGGAAAAUGUAACUACAACUAUAGUUUCAAAAUCAGGUACAACCUUGAAAAUUGCAGAUUGCACAAUUUCAUUUCAUUAUGGACGGAAAAAAGGGACAUUAACUAGAGUUGGAAAGCUAUAGGAGAGGAAUUGUGGCGUCAAUCAGGAUUUCUCAUUGUCCAAUUCAACAACAAACUUUAUCAAUCGAAACAAAAUUACAAUGAUAACAACAUUCGACAUAUUAUAUAGAACAACAAAUGUAGUAUAUGAGAAAGAAAAAUAAAAAACCCUCCAAAGAUUCGACAUCAACCCAAAAAAUUGGUGGAUAAUCUUGUCAGGGGAAAAAAAUCAUUAAAU